GACGAACGCUGGCGGCGUGCUUAACACGUGCAAGUCGAACGGAAAGGCCCUGCUUUUGUGGGGUGCUCGAGUGGCGAACGGGUGAGUAACACGUGAGUAACCUGCCCUUGACCUUGGGAUAACUUCAGGAAACUGGGGCUAAUACCGGAUAGGAGCUCCUGCUGCAUGGUGGGGGUUGGAAAGUUUCGGCGGUUGGGGAUGGACUCGCGGCUUAUCAGCUUGUUGGUGGGGUAGUGGCUUACCAAGGCUUUGACGGGUAGCCGGCCUGAGAGGGUGACCGGCCACAUUGGGACUGAGAUACGGCACAGACUCCUACGGGAGGCAGAAGUGGGGAAUAUUGCACAAUGGGCGGAAGCCUGAUGCAGCAACGCCGCGUGCGGGAUGACGGCCUUCGGGUUGUAAACCGCUUUCGCCUGUGACGAAGCGUGAGUGACGGUAAUGGGUAAAGAAGCACCGGCUAACUACGUG
rnacentral:rRNA from 1 species